rnacentral:rRNA from 1 species
UACGGGGGGGGCAAGCGUUGUUCGGAAUUACUGGGCGUAAAGGGCUCGUAGGCGGCCAACUAAGUCGGAUGUGAAAUCCCCAGGCUUAACCUGGGAACUGCAUCCGAUACUGGAUGGCUUGAAUCCGGGAGAGGGAUGCAGAAUUCCAGGUGUAGCGGUGAAAUGCGUAGAUAUCUGGAGGAACACCGGUGGCGAAGGCGGCAUCCUGGUCCAGCACCGACGUUCAGGCACGAAAGCGUGGGGAGCAAACAGG